CCRSUGGSMWWWWYMMMWAUGCGGAGGAAAGGAAACCAACAGGGAUUGCCUCAGUAACGGCGAGUGAAGCGGCAAGAGCUCAAAUUUGAAAGCUGGCUCCUUCGGGGUCCGCAUUGUAAUUUGCAGAGGAUGCUUCGGGCAUGGCCCCCGUCUAAGUGCCCUGGAAGGGGCCGUCAUAGAGGGUGAGAAUCCCGUCUGGGACGGGGUGUCCGUGUCCGUGUGAAGCUCCUUCGACGAGUCGAGUUGUUUGGGAAUGCAGCUCUAAAUGGGUGGUAAAUUUCAUCUAAAGCUAAAUACUGGCCGGAGACCGAUAGCGCACAAGUAGAGUGAUCGAAAGAUGAAAAGCACUUUGAAAAGAGAGUUAAACAGCACGUGAAAUUGUUGAAAGGGAAGCGUUUGCGACCAGACUCGCUCGCGGGGUUCAGCCGGCAUUCGUGCCGGUGUACUUCCCCGUGGGCGGGCCAGCGUCGGUUUGGGCGGCCGGUCAAAGGCCUCCGGAAUGUAUCACCUCUCGGGGUGUCUUAUAGCCGUGGGUGCAAUGYGGCCWGCCWGGACCGAKKWACRMWUUCUUCUUUUGUGUUCCUKUCUUAAUU
rnacentral:rRNA from 1 species